UACGGAGGGUGCAAGCGUUAUCCGGAUUCACUGGGUUUAAAGGGUGCGUAGGUGGGUCUGUAAGUCAGUGGUGAAAUCCCCGAGCUUAACUUGGGAACUGCCGUUGAUACUAUAGAUCUUGAAUAUCGUGGAGGUAAGCGGAAUAUGUCAUGUAGCGGUGAAAUGCUUAGAUAUGACAUAGAACACCAAUUGCGAAGGCAGCUUACUACACGAAUAUUGACACUCAGGCACGAAAGCGUGGGGAUCAAACAGG
rnacentral:rRNA from 1 species